AAAAAAAGGAGGGCGAGAAUUGUCGACUCUAUCAAUAUGAGGAAAGGAGGCAAUUAGCCCAACGACAACGUCGCAGCAGAGAGUUGAAGCAAAAGCUGGAAAGCCAGAAAAGCCAAAAAGGACCAAUCAACGGCAACAUGUUUGGCACACCAAGCACGCAGAAAAAGAGAGAAACGACAAAAAACAUGUCAAGCAGACGUCAUAAUGAACUAAGGUGUGCAAAUAGAUACUGAAAAAGUACAUGGACAAGAUGAUGCUUCUGUCAAUGAGAAAGUUGA